rnacentral:rRNA from 1 species
AAUCAACGCUGGCGGCGUGCCUAACACAUGCAAGUCGAACGCGAAAGCCCCGAAAGGGGCAAGUAGAGUGGCAAACGGGUGAGUAACGCGUGGGUGACCUGCCUUCGAGCGGGGGAUAACGUUCCGAAAGGGACGCUAAUACCGCAUAACAUCCUGCCUUUGAACAGGUGGAGAUCAAAGCUGGGGAUCGCAAGACCCGGCACUUGAAGAGGGGCCCGCGUCUGAUUAGCUAGUUGGUGAGGAACGGCUCACCAAGGCAACGAUCAGUAUCCGGCCUGAGAGGGCGGACGGACACACUGGGACUGAGACACGGCCCAGACUCCUACGGGAGGCAGCGGUGGGGAAUAUUGGACAAUGGGCGCAAGCCUGAUCCAGCCAUGCCGCGUGAGUGAUGAAGGCCCUAGGG